AUGGCGUCCGCGGGGCGUCGGCCAGCGGCGGCCCCGCCCCGGCGUCUGCCGCGCGAGACCUUCCCAAGAUGGCGGCGGCCCCGGGGGGGGUGGCUGCGCGCAGGGGGCGGGGUUCCGCCGCUGGGGGCGGGGCCGGGCGGCCGGGGGGUCGGGCUUGCGGGCGGGCCGAGCCGAGGUGGGCAGCCCCAGCGCGCUUGCGCGGAGCGGCCCUGCGUGCAUGCGCGCCGCGGCCGCCCGGGCGCCCUCCCCUUCCGGCGUGAGGCGCUGUGUGGAGCCGAGCCGAGCGGACCCGCGCCGGCAGCGAGGCGCUGCUCCCGCCGCCCCAGCCCGGCCUCCCCCGGCUCCGGCGCUCCCGUCUCGGGGGCCCGCGUUCCUUAGCACACCCGGCUCCAGGCGCCCCCAGAGCCUGCGCUCGGCCCUCCGAAAGCCCCGGCGCCGGCCCGGGCCCUCGGCGGGAGGAUGACGGAGCUGCAGUCGGCGCUGCUACUGCGAAGACAGCUGGCAGAACUCAACAAAAAUCCAGUGGAAGGCUUUUCAGCAGGUUUAAUAGAUGACAAUGAUCUUUACCGGUGGGAAGUCCUUAUCAUUGGUCCCCCUGACACACUUUAUGAAGGUGGUGUUUUUAAGGCUCAUCUCACUUUCCCAAAAGAUUAUCCCCUCCGGCCUCCUAAAAUGAAAUUCAUUACAGAAAUCUGGCACCCAAAUGUUGAUAAAAAUGGUGAUGUAUGCAUUUCCAUUCUUCAUGAGCCUGGGGAAGAUAAAUAUGGUUAUGAAAAGCCAGAGGAACGCUGGCUCCCCAUUCACACUGUGGAAACCAUCAUGAUUAGUGUCAUUUCAAUGCUGGCAGACCCUAACGGAGACUCACCUGCUAACGUUGAUGCUGCGUUGCGGAUCAUUAAGGAUGAAGGUGGUGUUGUCGUAUGUGGUACGCCGCUGACGCAGGACCCUGUUGCUCUAGCCAGUCAGACACGGCUGAUGCAGAAUGGCCCUGCCGAGACAGGGGAAAAGAAGUGGCUGUGGAUGGUCACGGGUGCCCCGGCGCGGAAGAAGAGUGGGCUAGUGGUGGGGUGCUGCCGCCUCGAGGGGCGCCGGGGGCAUCUGUGUGGAAGUAAUGUCUUUAGAUUUUCCACCGAAACAUCCGUGCGCAUUUCUGGCGCGCUCCUGGCUUUGCCAGCGGCCGAGAGCGUUGACCAGCACAACCCCUUUGGAAGGAAAUGGAGCAGUCAUUCUGCCUCUCAGGCGCUAUUUUGGGGAGGUGGUCCAUGUCAGGGAAAUGGGCACAUGCAGGGCCACAUGUGGAUGCAAUGUCUCCAAUUGAGAAACAUGGCACUGUUUUUCCUGCACUCUACCCACCUAUUGCUGGACUUCUGUUGUAACAAGUUGGCGGACACUGGCUGGAGCUGGGCUGCAAUAGAACAUGCCAGUAUCAGAGCUGACAAGAGCCUAACAAGUGCCAACUUACAGAGGAUUACGCAUUUUGAAUUCUAA